rnacentral:rRNA from 1 species
UACAGAGGGGGCGAGCGUUAUUCGGAAUUAUUGGGCGUAAAGCGCGCGUAGGCGGUUACUCAAGUCGGAUGUGAAAGCCCUCGGCUUAACUGAGGAAGUGCACCCGAAACUGAGUAGCUAGAGUACUAAAGAGGGUCGCGGAAUUCCCGGUGUAGAGGUGAAAUUCGUAGAUAUCGGGAGGAACACCGGUGGCGAAGGCGGCGACCUGGGUAGAUACGUGACGCUGAGGCGCGAAAAGCGUGGGGAGCAAACAGGG